GAGCUCCAGGUGAGCGCCCUCCUCCGGUCAGUGUUUUGGCCAAUCAAGCACAAAAAUGGAUUCAGUCAGAUCCUAGGGAUAGCCCUGCUCAUGCCCGUUUGCCUUGGUUUCAGCAAUGCUCGCCGGAGCCGCCAUCCAUCUGUCUCACGGCACAGAGUUGAGUCAAGUACAAAGUUGAGUCAAACCAUUUUAAUUGUACAGGAUUCAAAAUUUUGAACUCAUAUGUCUAAGAAUUGUGGUAUAUACGAUCAACAUUACUGAAUUAGUGAUGAUACUUAUAUUCUAUGAAGCUGAUAGUAGAACAUGCAACUAAUUUUAGAGCUGGUCAUGGUACUCUGGUACUCAAUCAUUUAGAGACUUGCAGUAAGUAUUCCAAUAAAAAAGGUGUAAUAUAAGUCUACCUGGGUGAAAAAAACAAGAUCAUGUGUGGCCCAAAAAGGGUAAGAUUUGAUUUAAUUCCUUGUUGGAGUCAUAUCAUUUCCUCCAGCUAUUUCAUUUCAAUUUGAGCAUUGUCUUGCUAACUUGAUUGGGAAACUCUAUUUGUGAAGUCCUGUUUUAGUUGUUGGCUUGUUGUAUUUGACAAAAUAGCUGAGUUGCCCUCCAUAGAAAAAAAAGGAGAGAUUUGCAUGAUUGUUGAAACAGUAACAGUAAUAGAAAAAAGGCGCCCUUUCCGAUUCAAAGAAGGACGAUGUGGAGAUUCGAGUUCGAGCUCCGACGUUGACGUGUUAGAAGAACAGGGCUUCCCUGACAGCUACCGGUUGGCCGGCAACAUCCAGUGCAAGCACAGGCAGAUCAGCGAUGCCGUGCUGCCUCCACUUGCCUACGCGCUCGGGAGGAAGCUCAAGGAAGCCAUCGACGCCCAGCGCUGAGCCAGCCGCUUGCAUGUGAUCGGCACCGGACUCUUCCAGCAUUUUGUGAAUUGUAGGCAGACAUUUUGUACAUCUAACGGGAGGAGGAUGAUGGUUAAGUGGUUAACACCAACAGGAUCAUAGCAUUGGUGUUAUAGUUUUUGUGGACAGUGACUUAUCUCAGCGGGGUAUAUAAUCUAUUUUGUACUGCUAUGAAGGCAUGAACCAAUUGUAAAAUUUGUGAGACUUUCUGGGCAUCUUGUCAAGCAGGGAUGACCAUCAUCAGCUUUACUUUCUGCAUU